AGCCCGUGGACUAACCCCAGAUGUGUUCAUGGUUCUUCUCCAAAUUAAGCUAUGAGUGCGUGGAAUAGUUCAGGAUAUUAUGCAUCUCAUAAUGGAUAAAUAUAUGGGAUUCCUGCCAAAUUAGGGUGGCUCAGAAGCUGCAGCCCCAGUAGAAGAAGUAAAUCAGUUAGGAAGGUAAUGACUGCCUCACACGAUAUGCAUUCAGAACUUGGUGCAUAGACAAACAAGUUCAAGGAAUUGCACUCAUUUCCUUUGCUACUUUAUUUGAUUGUGCAGCAAGGGAGAGAGAAUGAGGUAACUUCAUUUGCAUUAAAAUUAUGAUCUCUGUUUUUCAAACCACUAACAGUCACAAAAGAUCAGGAAUAUAUACAAAACAUCCUAUUUAGGUGUUUUAUUUGCAAUGCUGUUUUUCAUCAGUUAUUAAUGCCAGCUAGAUCACAUUCCAUCGACAGAGUGUAGAAGUGACGGAUAACAAGCAGACAUUUAAGACGUGAUCCUAAAGAUACUGUACAGGCUGGUUUUACUGUGUGAUAGCCAACAGCUGCAAGGCCAGAAAAAUGUUAGGACUAACAGAACUGGAGCUGGACCCCUGCUAAUAGUCUGUAUGGGAGAAGAAGUGUUUGCAGCCCCACGCUUAUAAAAAGCAAUUAAGUCAGAGGCCAGAGAUGGUACAAGAGCAGAUUACAAAUCAUGCGAUUUUAAACCAGAUCGCCUCUGAGAUUUUUAUAUUUGAUUUUCUGUGGAAGCCUUUAGGCUGUGCAUUUUCCACUUAUCUUCCUAAGCCACAGGAGCUUGGAAACUUGUAUUUUGUUUCCCAAGUGAAAGCUGAGAUGAUUAUGUACAGACAUGAGUUAGGAGCUCAGACUGCAGAAGGAAUGCCAAAUAUUUUGCAGAGCCACUACUGAGAGCUUAAAAACAGUUUGCUUCUUGUACUGCUUUUUCUUAAGUAUUCACAUAAUCAAAGUAUAGGCUUAAGUGACGUGGGUUGGAUAAAUCCAAAUACACGAGUAUUUGGCUGAGCGCUUAUUGGUGAUACAAUGAAGUCAAGACUAAGAGCUGCCACUAUGGACAGCACCGUCUCUUGGCUAAUAAACAUCUCAUUGGCUCCUGCACAAUUUUUUUCAAGUACAAAUGCAGCCAGCUUUGUUCUUGUCUGAAUAGCACCUCUUUUCCCUUCGUUUGACUUACAGCUGUGUCAGAAAGGGUUUAAAACAAGUUUUGUGUGGGGUCAUACUUACUUUGAGAGGUUGUUGGACUCAUUUGCUCUGUGGGCCCUCUGAUGUAUGGAGAUAUCUGUGCAGCAGUGUCAGAAGCAGAGAUGGACACCACCUUGGACAAGUAGAUGCAAGAAGUGCCAUUCUGGUCCAUAGGGAUGUUCACAUGGAUCAAGAAGAACAUUCUAGCUUCUCAGGGGAGACUCAGCGUUCACACAACGCAGAGCCUGUGAAAUCAGUGUCCCCUCAGAGCAGGAAUAUUGUCCUCCCACUUUGGCUUCUCUAGGAGUCUUCUCUGAAAACGUACCUACUGUCUUCUUGAAUUUUGUGAGACUGAGUUUGGGCACUCUUGCAAUUCACACCUACCAUGGAAACUUACGGUGUGGAAAGAUUUUGAAUAUUUGCCUGCACCCCAGACUUUUUUUGUUUGUUUCUUCUGAUAAUCAGUAUAUAACAACAGUACUCAUUUUAAAGUCUGUUUUGAAAUUUCCCUCCCCACCUUUCUCACCAUGGUACUACAGUGCUGCAGAUGUAGUGUUAUUGGUGCUACAGUGACUCCACAGCAGUUUCUGCAUCAAAGGAAAACAGGGCCCGAAUCAUGGCAGGAGGAAGAGCUGAAACACUAGAAACUCUCUCUGCAAAGGAAGGCCCUCUCCUCAUGACAAGGUUCUCCAUCACUGGAAUGAUACUAAGGAACAAAAUUCAGAUUUUCUUCUAUUAAACGCACUGAACUACAGUGAACUGAUGCCCAGCACUGAAGCAGCUUUACAGAGCUGUCAGGCACAAGCUUCCAUUAUUUGAGCAUACCAGGCUGGAGGAAUCCUUCGUGCGUUUUGGCACUGCUAGACCUUGUCAUCUCCUCAGUAUGAGAACAAGAAAAUGGGGAUGUAGUCAUAAGAAGACAGCAGCUGCCAGUAACAGAAUAGACCCUGUAGAGCUCAGUCAUGCUUAGAGAACCACUUCCCUACAUGAUAUUCUGGCAAGAGUAACCAGGAAAAUCAGAAGAUGCUGUUCCAGAUGUCAUAAAGACCACAGUAUAAAAAAAAACCCAACAUAAUCCUGCUUUGAAAAUUCACUGUAAAGAAAGGAAAAGACCGACUGCAUCUCUCUUGUAAUGAAAUCUUGCUUUGAGCCACAGGUCUCUGGGUGUCAAAGUAACUACUGAAGGAGCUUUCCUUUCAUGAAGAGAAAAACUUCAUCUCGGUAUGAAUGAUAUGUAUCCCCUAUUGUAUUGGAGGAUGAGAAAUCUGUGACAAAGCCCAUGCCUUUGGUGGUGCCCUGUCUACUAUGGAUCCCAGGAUAAACCCAGCAGGAGACAUGAAGGGGUGAUGGGGCAAAGCAUCCCUCUCUGCAGAUCAUUCCCAAGCUCAGGUGCUGUGAGAUGGGGCAUAGAUUCCCUUGUACCACGUACAGCAAGAGGUAAUGCAACCACCUGAGAGGAGGGACACAAUUGCCAGUUAGCGCUGUCACUGAUUUAGGAAGCGGUUUAUAUCAAUCUUUGCAGACUGACUGAAUCACGGCUGUGGUUUGGUGGCACUUUCCCGGCAUGGGCUGAAAAAGCUGUCACGCUGAAAAUGAUGUGAAUGGUCAUUAGAGAGCUCCUGCUGUCCCCUAGGGAGGUGAGCUAACCAAGGUGCUAUUGCGUCAUUCUCCCCUCAUGAGCUGGAAGGUGACGAAGUUAGGGGAACGUGACCUGUAGCAGUUGUGUUGAAUGUGAAAAGUGUGGCAUGGUGCCUGUUGACUUUAUUUACCUGACUGUUAUCUCUGGACUUCCCUCCAACUAUACAUUGUUUAAGAGGAAUUUCUCUAGAGAUUACAGAGGUAAGACAUCUGUCUUAACACAAGGUUUAUUACUUUUCUUAGUGUUCUUUCCAUGUUUUUGAUGUGAAUUGACAGAGGAAUUAAGCAGCAAGAAUUAAAUGACAGAAACAUUUUACGUUGGAUGUCAGAAGAUAUCUCUUCCCAGCAUGACUGUUGUGUGCUCUGCUCAGUACAGACUUCCUCUGAUCACUGGCACGUUGAAGAAGUCCCUCCUCCAAGAUUUCUGUAAUAAUGUGAAGAUGAAAGACAGAAAUCAAGACUAUGUGAAAUGUUGAUUGGGGGUCUGAAUUUAACUGGCAAAAGAGAUUAGUUCCUGAAAAUUACAUUAGCAGUGGCUUG
rnacentral:lncRNA from 1 species